rnacentral:lncRNA from 1 species
CUUUUUUUCAGAUCAUAAAUCAGUAGCAAAUGUGCAGAUUUGGACUGUCCAAAGUUUUACCUUGAGAAUAUUUUCUUGAAGCAUUCCAAAACACUGAAAUCCUAGGAUGGCAAGGAAAAAAAUCAAAUAAAAGAUUCACCCAUUACUGAUCUGCAGACAGCAGUGGUGAUUUUUCUGUGUUGCCACCCUUCAGAAGCUAAUGAGCAGGAGAGUUCGACCUCCAGUUCUGUUGCUGGGUUUAGCCCCCCUGCAGAAAGUAUUGGGAAGGAUAUGUAAACAGAGGCUCAAGACCUAUGUUUAUACAUAUUUAUAUAUGAAAGUGUGAAGAACAGAUAUACAAAAUUCCUCAGGACAGCAGUGAUGUGUCCUCAAGCACACCUGGUGUACAGGUGUACUCCCAGGCAUCUCAUUAAACCUCAGAUAAUUCACCUUUGCAAUACAUAAAUGGGAAUACAGUGUCUCUUAGUACAAUCUCUUUUUACGUGUUAGCUUAUUGUGUAGAAGAAAGAAUUAGUUUGUCAUCUUUCUUCAGUUUAGAGUUGGUGAGGAAAAAUGGCCUUUACUAUCUCAGUUGAUUUCAAUAGGCAUUGGGUCUACCUGUUAGAAAAAAAAAAUAAUAAAA